GACGAACGCUGGCGGCGUGCCUAAUACAUGCAAGUAGGACGCAGUUGCGAACGGGUGAGUAACGCGUAGGUAACUACCUAUUAGAGGGGGAUAACUAUUGGAAACGAUAGCUAAUACCGCAUACUAGUAGCUGGACCUGCGUUGUAUUCGCUAGUAGGUAGGGUAAUGGCCUACCUAGGCAACGAUACAUCACCGAACCUGGGGGGUGAUCGGCCCCACUGGGACUGAGACACGGCCCAGACUCCUACGGGAGGCAAGCGUAAGGAAUUUUCGGCAAUGGGGGGAACGCUGACCGGGCAACGCCGCGUGAGUGAAGAAGGUUUUCGGAUCGUAAAGCUCUGUUGUUAAGGAAGCGGUACUUAACCAGAAAGGGACGGCUAACUACGUGCCAGCAGCCGCGGUAAUAC
rnacentral:rRNA from 1 species